UAUAAUGAUUCCCAAUUUAUAGACAUUGAGGCUGGUUCCCAUGUUGUUAUUAUCAACAAUUGGAAGCAGCAUUGAGAGGUCACUUUGUGUGUGCAUGCUAAUUUUAACUGCAAUGCUAGUCACCCACCCCAGGGUUGCACCAACUUACUAAACUCCCUCUGGGAAUACCCGAGGGUGCCUUUUCCCCAUACUGUUGCUAUUUAUCAAACUUAUUGAAACUGCCCUUUAUAAAAUUAAUAAAGGGCCACAAGGUGGGAAGUAUAGUAGAGGCCUGAACUCUGCAGAGGUAAAGGCAUAUUUUAAAAAUAUAUAUAACCAGCCAUUUUUCCUAGCUUGCUUUCCUAUAAUUGCUUCCUAUUGAGGAGUCACAUAGUUAAUAGUUAUAAAGAUUGUUAGCUUUCUUCAUUGUUCCCAUAGAUAACAUCAUUCUUGUGAAGCCUAAGGCUAGUUUUUGAGCUAUCUUCUCGUUCCCACAUUCUGGUGGGCCAGCUGACCCAUCCAGACCAGGAGCCCAUACCAAUGAACUGAUUCAGCUAGUCUUGUGACUUGGGAACUGACUCAGCAGAAGAAGACAAUUUCUGCUUUCUGAUCCUGUGAGAUCAUUCUCAGCCAAUCAGCAGACUCAAUGAGUUCAUACCCAGCCGACCAGCAGACCCAAUUCCCUUGCCCUUUGCCCACCUAACUAUCUUUCAAAACUCUUUCUCCCAAAUUCUUGGGAAGACAUUUGAAAAUUUCCUCCUGUCUCCUCAUGUGGCACCUGUGAUAUUCAACUCCUCCACGGUAGCCUCUGCUGUCUUAGUGUAGUGGCUUCCUCUUGAGCAGCAGGCAAUGAACCCACGGGAGAAAAGGAGAAGACGUGAGAGAGAAGGAGAGAAGAAAAAAUGAAGAGGACAAGGACUGGUCAAAGUAGAAGAGGAAGAAAAAACACCUCCAGCCUGGCCUGGUAGAACCACACUUAACACUAAUGCUGAAUAACAGUGAUUAAAUGCAAAAGGCACCGUGGUCUGACGCCCUUUCUAAGCAGAGAUAAAGAGGCAGCCUAAACGGAUCUCAUCUACAGUUACACCUCUACACCCGGAGCUAUCACAGGAGGGUUCUAGCUCCUCUGAAGACAGUAGGCUACUUGGGAGACACUCUGGGGAAUGUGGGGUUUUCAGCAAUGAGGAUUAAGAAACUGGAUUAAAGGAGGGGAGAUAAAAACUGUUCCUGGAAAAGGAGGCAGAGAACAUGCUCUUGAACAUGAGAUAGGGACCUUUGUUUGGUAGAGAAAAUUGGUCAUUGAAGACGAGUUGGCUAAACUUGGUCAGGGCUGUGGGAUUUACAUAAGCUCCUUUAUAAACAAACUUUAAACCUGAAAGAGAAAAAUGUUCAAAGUUCUUUUUUUUUUUGAGACAGAGUCUCACUAUGUCGCCCUGGGUAGAGUGCCAUGGCGUCACAGCUCACAGCAACCUCCAACUCUUGGGCUUAAGUGAUUCUCUUGCCUCAGCCUCUCAAGUAGCUGGGACUACAGGUAUCCACCACAACCUACAGGUACCACAACCUACCUGGCUAUUUGUUUUGUUGCAGUUCUCAUUAUUAUUUGGCAGGCCCAGGCUGGGUUUGAACCCACCAGCUCUGGUGUAUGUGGCUGAUGCCCUAGCCUCUGAGCUACAGGUGCAGAGCCUGAAAGUUCAUUCUUGAUUAGAGGGAAAUAUAGGUUCUAUAGGAGGAAGAAAAAUCAGUAAAGCUAGUUAGUAGGAAACAAAUAAGUAGAAAAAAAUAAAUGAAGUCAGUAAAUUAAGAGAUAAAGUAGAUCACCAAGACCACACAGAAACAGCUCCCAGUAAGAAACUUGUUUCUUCCAAGGAACAAAUACUAGAGCUGCAUACUUUGUUACUCCUUGCUUACACUGGGAGGAAGCCUGAGCCAAGAUAUGGAUGAAGCUCCCUCUCUGGGCAUCCUGUGUACGUUAAGCUUUAAAGCAAUCCAGACUGCCUGUUUUUGACUGCUCUCUCUCUCUCUGAUCAUGCAGAACAUGGGUUCACCCAAAGGCCGGUGUGGCAACAAUCUGGGGUCUAGUGUAAGGGCACAUUUUGUGGGCCAAGCAAUAGAUAUCACAAAUACCAGUUACUUGGGACUCAGCCUUCCAGAAAGGAAGCCCAGGCCAUGCCCAAAACAAGGCUGCCGUUGCUGUUGGGAUGGGAUCUAAAAAAUGGGCUGAGAUUCCUAGACCAAGUGGAGACUUGUUGAGUUUAGCUAGAACUGAACACUGAAAGGAGGCAAUUUGAAGAUUGGAAGAACUGGGAGUAUCAAAUGAUGGGUAAACACUGUAAGCUGGGGACACUGUGACCAUGAGAGUGGAUAAGACUGAAUCCAGCCAGAGAGAGAGGCUGAGGUGUUGGGAAGUAGUCAAAGCCUAGUAGAGGAGGAAGAAUCUCUUGGGUAUUGAGUUCUAGAUGUGAUAUGGCUUCUAACUGGAUUUGACCAGUGAAAGGUGCUCUGAGGGGCCUGAAAGAAAGUGAGAUAAGAGAAUUUACCCUUUGUCCCCCACUCCCUGACUUCUUUCCUGCCAAGGCAUUUGGGCUGGCUAUGUCCAUCUACCAAAGACCAAAGCUCUGGGCACAUAGCUCAUCCUCUACACUUACCUAUUGGAUUCCUACGACCACUCUCUUUCCUGGGUCUUUUAGGCCUUAGGACAGCCCCUCCACGGUUGCUAACCCUAAGAGACUGCUCUAUUAUUAAUAUCUCUAACCAUUCCUAGGCCUUUUUAAAUACUCUCUUUAUUAAACUCUUCACAUUGCCCAGUUUGAAAUCGCUGCAUGCUGGAGCCCUGACUGAACACACCUCCAUGGAGUUCAGAUGGAACCGACACUCCUCCAAGACUCAGGUACCGGCAAAGGAUUCAAGUCAGAGAGCAUUGUGCCUCCUGGCCACACUAACACGAUCAAGUAUGUGACCCUAUCAGAGCCCAAAAGUCUACAUUUGGAACAAUUGUAGAAACUGUUAAGAUGAGAGACUCUUUCCAAGUAGGUUUGCUAAGAAAACACAACACGCAUCUGAACUGUUGGUUGCCAUUUUGCAGCCACAAGGAGAUAUUAUGCUGAGAGAAGUGACAACAGAGAGAAAAGCAGAUCUGGAAAAGGGACAGAGACUGAGCCCUGAUGACAACAUUCAAGCCCAUGGAUAAGCUGGCUCUGAACCUGCGCAACUGUGUUCUAUAAGCUGAUCAAAUCUACCCCCUUCCUUUUAAAAAUGCUUAAUGCGUUUGGAGUUGGAAUUUUGUUAUUUGGAACUGUGCUACUGACAGACAUCUGCAGGAAAAUCCCUGUCCCUUGUGGCAGGGAGGCAAUAAUGCUAAGGGGCUACGUGGAGAUGAGAGUCUACAGUGGUGCUACGGUAGAUGCACCAAAGCUAGAAUGGAGGAGCCACUGUAGAAGGAGGCAGGGUGGGAACUGCCAGGCCAGGGAGCGGACAGCUUCAGUGGUGGCAGCAACAGAAACAGUCUGUGGUAGCCACAGAGGAGCCUCAGUCUGCUGUGGUGCUGUAGUUAGUGCUUUUGGCUGCAAGUGAAACAGAAGUCCAACUAAAAGUGGAUUUACUCAAACAAUAAGGGGCUAAUUAUAUGCACAACAAAAGUCAGGAGGCAGGCAGUUCUAAAGUCCGUUAAUUCGCUGGUACAAUGGCACCAUCAAGGAUGCACAUGGCUGCCAUAUUCCCAUCCUGCCAUCCAGAGUGCGAUUUCAUCUUCAAACUUGUCUCUUACGGCUGCAAAUGGCUACUCCACCUCCACACAUUACAUCUUUCUGCAACCCCCUUUCAAGGCAGGAAGGGAAGACACUAUUUUUUAUCAGGGAGAAGCCUCCUGGUAGUCUUCCUCCUGUAUCUCAUUGACCUCAAUUGCAUGACAUGGCAAUUGCUUAAAAUGUUCCCUGGAAAAAGAAAAGGAAGAGCUAGUAGUUAAAAACAACUCCAAAGAACAAAAGAAACCAGAGCUUGGAGUACCUCUCAGUGAAUUUCAAUGUGCCAAGGUUCUCACGGAGUCUCACAUUUCUUGGAGGAUUUUUUUUUUUCUCCACACUUUGGAAAGAAGUUUUUUAUUCAGAAACAGUGAAGUGAUUUUUGUUCAACAUUUUUCAAGUAUAUAAAAGGAUUUAAAAAGUCACGUUCAAUAGAUUUUUUUGUCAAUAAAUUUCUUUGACCACUAUUUCACAUUUAAUUGAUUUUGACAUCUCAUGUUAAAGAAGAAAUCUUCUCAGUCUCAAGACAUGGGGGAGAAAUAAGACUCUAUAGCCAGUUUAAAAUGAUUAUUUACGCAUUUCAUAUCAUGCAAAUUACCAGUAGAAAUAAUAAAAUAUCUCUACAGAUAAAAAUCUUUUCCUAUGAUUUUGAUAUUAGUCUACUUGCAGGGGUCCUCGAACUGCAGCCCGUGGGCCACAUGAGACGGUGUGAUUGUAUUUGCUCCCGUUUUGUUUUUUUACUUCAAAAUAAGAUAUGUGCAGUGUGCAUAGGAAUUUGUUCAUAGUUUUUUUUUAAACUACGGUCCAGCCCUCCAACAGUCUGAGGGACAGUGAACUGGCCCCCUGUUUAAAAAGUUUGAAGACCCCUAGACUGAUUUGCAAAAUUUUGUGGCCAGCGUGGUGGCUCACAUCUGUAAUCCUAGCACUCUGGGAGGUCAAACUGGGUGGACUGCCCUGAGCUCACACAUUCGAGACCAGCUUAAGCAAGAGAGAGACCCUGUCUCAAAAAAACAAAAAAAUUAUUAAGACUUCAAAGUGAGCUGAGCCCUCCUGGACUGGGUCCUAAAGUCUAGUUCAUAAUUUAUUCUCUCUGCUCUAGCACCAGGAUCUAAUCAUAGUAGGCGUGAAAUAAAUGCCUGUUGUUAAAUAAAACAGAGAUAGCUUCUGCAUACCUCCCCUUGCUGUCACUGAGACAGCACAAAAGAGAAUUAAGGACAUUUACCUAGGAGCUGGAUGGACAGACUGCAAAGCACAUGGCCAGGAUGCCUAAUGGUCUUGUGGAGUCGGACGGCUCCUCCUGCAGCACCCACCUGUGCAUGAGUAAGCCUGGGACAGCGCAGAACGGACUUAAACAGGAAAGCAUCUGAAAGCAGAACAUGCCUUGGUCACCAGAGCACGUGUAACGUUCACAGGUGUCAAUUCGACUGUCCCCACUUGGAAGACAACACCCUGCAGGCCGCACGUCAGUGCAGCGGAAGCCGCACAUGCGCACAAAUAGAGCGCAGGUGCGUUUACGUGACUUUACGACACCUCGUGGUCAUCUGCAAAGUUCAUGCUGGAGGACUGCGCAACCAAGUUACACCAACAAAUCACAAACAAAAAAUGUUUUAAAGACUGGGCCUCACUCUGUCAUCAAGGCUGGAGUGCAAUCAUAGUUCACUGUAACCUCAGACUCCUCAAAAUUUGAUGUCUUGAGCCCUGCCACUCGAUGGGAGAAUCAGUAGAAUCUGUAGCAUUCUCUAUUGUAAUUUUGUUCCUAUUUAUUUUAUUUAUUUAUUUAUUUCUGUUUAUUUUUAAAUUUUGUUUCACUGGAAAAAUACUGCCCUGUUUUAAACAUUAAAAGUCUAUACAAGUUGCUUUGUUACAAUAAAACUAAACGCGUGCACGAAGGAUUUGAUUCUUUUCUCUCAGAAUAUAUAGACUUUCUCUGACCUUCUGAGUUUGACUUCUAUGAUGUCAUCAUCAAACUGUUAUCCUAAUGUCAUAUUUUUUGAUACACACUUUGCAGAAUGACCUCAGGGCUGUGUGGAUUGAGUAAAGGGAUUUGAAUCAAUGUGUUAAAUGUCUUUGUGGCAACAAAACCGGCACAAUUUGGCCAUCAUUUUCUGAAAAUAUUCACAUGUUUGGGAUACUUAGAACUCAGUUCUGAAUAUGUCAUACUCUUGCUUUUUAAUCUCCAAUUGGUAGUUUUUAAAAUGGGCCUUUUAGCUGGAUAUAAAUUAACAAUGCCUGCCACCACCAUCUAACAGCCCCCAUGCUCUAAGGCCAACUUAUGUGCAUGGAGCAGUUGCAGGCCUACGUUCAUUGGCACUAUAAAACGUGGCUGGGAAGAGAGCCUCUUAGAGUAAGAAAGAUGUGCUGGUGUUCGGAGUCACUUUAAGUCCCAGCUCUCUAUAAUGAAGCUCUCAAAUGUGACCGUGAAUCUGGGUGGCAUGAUGGACUGUGCCUGCUCAAUGCCAUUGGGCAGAGAACCUCCAUAAUGUGUAUGCUUUUCAUUUCUGUAAAAUACAGUAUCAGAAACUAAAUGCCACUUUUUCAGAGGUGAAUUUGACAUCCUGGUCAAAUUCAAAGUUUUUUGAUAUAUAAAACUUUAUAAAUGAAACUAUUUCUUCAAUAGACAAAGUGUGACAAACGCCUACUUGUAACACUAUG